rnacentral:snRNA from 1 species
AGCUUUGCGCAGUGGCAGUAUUGUAGCCAAUGAGGUUUAUCCGAGGGGCAAUUAUUACUUUUCCCAAUAUGUAAAAGCAAGAAUAGGAGCAGCUAUGUCAGGCACAAAAAAGUAGGUUCACACGUGAAGGUCAGAGCAGGUUCUGGCCAUUUCUGGAGAACCAGUAGCGGA